rnacentral:rRNA from 1 species
AAUGAACGUUGGCGGCAUGGAUUAGGCAUGCAAGUCGAGCGAGAAGUGUAGCAAUACACGGAAAGCGGCGGAAGGGAGAGUAAUACGUGGGAAUCUGCCCUUAGACCUGGGAUAGCAGCGGGAAACUGCUGGUAAUACCAGAUAAUGUCUAUGGACCAAAGGUGUGAUUCCGUCUAGGGAUGAGCCCACGUCCUAUUAGCUAGUUGGUAGGGUAAUGGCCUACCAAGGCGAUGAUGGGUAGCGGGUGUGAGAGCAUGACCCGCCUCACUGGGGCUGAGACACUGCCCAGACACCUACGGGUGGCUGCAGUCGAGAAUCUUCGGCAAUGGGCGCAAGCCUGACCGAGCGAUGCCGCGUGCGGGAUGAAGGCCUUCGGGUUGUAAACCGCUGCCGAGGGGGAGCAACUUCCAUAGAGUUAUCUUUAUGGAUUGAGUGAUCCCUGGAGGAAGGACGGGCUAAGUUCGUGCCAGCCGCCGCCGUAAAAC